UACGUAGGGUGCAAGCGUUGUCCGGAAUUAUUGGGCGUAAAGAGCUCGUAGGCGGUUCGUCACGUCGGCUGUGAAAACCUGAGGCUCAACCUCAGGCCUGCAGUCGAUACGGGCGGACUUGAGUACUGCAGGGGAGACUGGAAUUCCUGGUGUAGCGGUGAAAUGAGCAGAUAUCAGGAGGAACACCGGUGGCGAAGGCGGGUCUCUGGGCAGUAACUGACGCUGAGGAGCGAAAGCGUGGGGAGCGAACAGG
rnacentral:rRNA from 1 species